AGAGAAACUUAGGUUAACAAAAACCAGGAGCCUUCAAAGCCCCAAAUAAAAGA
rnacentral:tRNA from 1 species